rnacentral:rRNA from 1 species
UACAGAGGAGCCAAGCGUUGUCCGGAUUGACUGGGCGUAAAGCGCACGCAGGCGGAUGCGCGCGUGGGGUGGGAAAUCUGGCCGCUUAACGGCCAGGCGCCAUCCCAUACGGCGCGUCUGGAGUGAUGCAGAGGUCGGUGGAAUUGCCGGUGUAGUGGUGAAAUGCGUAGAGAUCGGCAGGAACACCCAGGGGGAAACCAGCCGACUGGGCAUCUACUGACGCUGAGGUGCGAGAGCGUGGGGAGCGAACCGG